AAAAAAUCAUUAAGAGGCAAACUUACCAACCACAAAGAGAAAUAGAAGUAGUCAAGAUUCUAAACACUAACAAUUGAGUGAGUCUCAAAGCAGUAAUAGAAGAGAGACAUGAAAUUUUGUGUUCCCUAGGAAAGCAACUCUGCCUCGGCGAGUCGAAUUGAAAGGAUAGGUAGGCCGAUUGCUAUUUGCUAGUUGCAUUGAAAUUUGCCUGUUUUUGUGAGCUUUAUUGUUCUGGCUCCCCCCUCAGAUUACGAUGUCGCAUGGCAUGUUUUGUUGGACAGAGAUGCUGCCAGUGUCUCUUAAGCAAAUCUUUAAUAAUCAUGGUAUUAAGUUAGCAUAAUUAAAUUUCUGACUACUGUUUGUUUCUCUUGUUCUGUACAAGUUGCUAUUCAAUCACCUCGGCCCAAUAUAUGUAACUACUAACGUUGAUGAGAUUUCAAGCACGUGUCAUGUUUGCACAUAAGGAUUAGUUAAAUCAUAAUAUGCAUAUUCAUCAAUCAAUGAUAUUGUGUUUGGAUCAAAAGGAUUUCCAAACCAAACAAAAAAACAAAAGCAUUGGCCCACAUUAUGUGAAAUUUGUACAAAUAAUUUAAAAUAUAAAGUAAUAAAUAAUUUACUAUCACCAAGCCGACUCUAGAGCAUUUGAAGUCUUUGUCCAAUUUUUUCGUGGAGUGUCUUUUUAUGUUAUAAUUUCGAUACUCAAAGAAAUAUAGAACGACUCAAAAGUUUAUUUCAUCUUUAAUUUUUAAAUUUUAUGAGUAAUAAAAAAGAUCUUAAAAGCUUUCAAAAACAAAAUCUAAAAAAAUAGUUUAGAACAUAUCUAUUUUACUUCCAUUAGAAUCAUUACAAAAAUAAACAAAGAAAUAAAUAAGAACACUAUUGUUUUCAAAUAUAAUAUUUAAAAUGACUGCACAUUGAAAGUUGAGAUGACGGAUUGUCAGAUAAUAGAUAUGAACUUUGAAUUUCAAGAAACUUUUUUUCUUUUUUAAAUCAACCAAUGAAUGUAAUAAUUUUCUUUGUAAAGAAAGGGGCAAGAAAAUUUUCUAUCUAUUGAUUUUUUAUAUUAUAAGUUUUAAUAGAAAUUAAAAGGAAUAUUAAAAGUCAAAGAAUUCAACUUUAAAUGAUCAAGUUUUUUUUUUUAAGGAAACUGAAAAUGUAAAGAAUUUAGUUUUUUUAGAAAGACUAAUAAUGAAUGAAUUAAUGGUUAAAUAGUAUUAGUAAUUAUAUCUUUUUAACAUUAAGAUUACCAAAUAUUGAUUUUCUAAAAAAAAUCCUUAAUUGUAGUAUAGUUGUUAAUUAUAAAAGGUGUCUAAUAGGCUUUUCUACAAUCCAUAAUUCUAAAAAAGAUCUUUAUUAAUUAGAGAAAUAUUGAGAAAAUUACUCAAAAAAAAUAAAAACCUAAAAAAAUAUGGGGCCUUAAGCGACUGCCUUAUUUACCUAUACUUAAAGUCACUCCUUCCUAUCACAAAGAUAAAGGAUUUGGUGAUCAAGUGGUUAUCAAAUAAUUUCUUUUAUAGAAUUAGAAUGUGAUAAGUAAAUAAAUUAAAAGAAUAAUAUGAUAACUUAAUAUAUGAUGUAAAAGUACCAAAAUGAAGAUUAUUAAAUAAUAUGUAAAAAAAUUGUAAGUUCUCACAACAUUCUUUGUCCCCCCCCCCCCCCCCAAAAAAAACUAUUUUUGCACAAGAUUAUACUAUCAAUCAAAAUAAAAUUUUCAAAAAAGAAAACAUUCAUAAAAAGCAGUGUUAUACUAUAAAUAUGAAUAAAUUCGAAACAAGCAAAUAUCUGACCCAUUAAUUUGCAAUUACUUUACAGUCUAAUUAAGCAAUAUGAAAGGAAAAAAAAAAAAAUUAACUUCGGCAACAAUACUGAAGUUGUUAAUCCACUUUGACCCUGUUUGGUUUGGCAGAUCCUUUUUUGAGUGUCUAGUUCUCCAAUUAGCAUAUUACGUUUUUAAGUUGGCCAAAGUCAUUCAAUUACAAAUAAUGGGAUCAUGCUACGGUGCAACUGUAGCACUGUGCCACAGUUGCAUCUAACCGUUGGAUGCAGUUGGAUUGGUGAGAUCUAUUGAUAUCCAACGGCUAGAUACAACUGUGGCACGAUGCCACAGUUGCACCUAAGGUUCCCCAAAUAAUGAUGGUUACGUACCUUUAUUUAUGGCUAAUCUUUUCGGGAAAAGUGAGAUGUAUAUAUAGCAAUCUCUUUUUAUACAAUUGGUGAUCAUUGUUUAUUUUGUGUUCCUAUUUAAUGAUUGGCAACGAUGGACCUAUAUGUUCCCUCUAAUGAAAAGAAAAAGAAAAAAUAAAAAUGGAGUGCCAAAUUUGGAGCUUGUAUCCUUUUGAUUAUUUAAGUUUGGGGGCAAAAACUUUAGUUAGAUCGUAACAUAUUUAAAAUACAACUGAAAAAUGGAUCUAAAACGACUUACCCGUUGUAAGAUGUUCAGUUAUAAACUUGAAACUUUGAUCAAAAAAAUUGAAAUCUCUUGCGAAGUAUUUAGAAAUCUCUAAUUAC
rnacentral:lncRNA from 1 species